UAAAACCAAACGAGGGUCCUUUUUUUAACNAUUUCCAUGUUUAAUGAGGAAUUUGAGCCCGAAAAUGGUUUACUAACAAGCAUACAGUAGCUUUGCGUCGAAAAAGAAGAGUACACAUGGGAAUGCAACUGUACUUACAGAAAAAUCAGCAGUAGAAAAUAAUGUUGUUUUAUGUAGGCGAAAAGAGCCNGUCAUUUGAAACAACCACCAGCUACUAGCAUAUUUAAAGCUUGNUGCACUUACAUCGCCCUGGCUAACGGAUNUUCAGAAU
rnacentral:lncRNA from 1 species